rnacentral:rRNA from 1 species
UUUAAACAAUGGUAAAAUGUCAAGUCUCAAACAAACAAGGAUCCUGACGUUAGUUCGAGCUAAAUUAGACUGUUCCCGUUAGAUAUACUUUACCCUGUGGUAUGUACAACAUAUCCGAAAUCAAGUAUGUCUUACCAUCUACUCAUUACCUAAACUCCCAAGCAUCUUAGGAUCAACAUGUUACUACCUACCGGUCCAACAUAAGAAGAUUGACGAAAUGUCUAAAAAGAAAGAAAUACUAAUAGAACACAUCUAGGGUUCAAUAACUCUGACAUUAGUGUGGUACCUUCCGUUACUUUAUGUAUGUACUAUGUAAUAGAAAAACAUGGCUCCAUCUCGUCGUUAGUAAAAUAAACGAGAGGAAGAGAAUAAACGACAGAGCACGGGUAGUUCCGUCUCGUCACUCGAUAAACUUGGUAACGAUGGGUCGAUCUCUCCUCAGCGCGGGGGACCGCGUGUGGGCACCGCAAGAAAAAACAAAGUAAAUAGUUUAUCACUACCAUGUUUAUAGCUUAAGGACU